CAUCCCAACAUGGCGUCAGGCAGGAGGUCUCUCACACGACUCAAAGAAAGCUUUCCUCUCCUCUGGUGCAUGUCCCAGUCCUUCCAUCUCUCAGUCUCCCACUCUGAGUCUCUGUCCUCACAUUCAGGUGAAGACGAGUCAACCUUCAUCACCCAAGCUAUGUCUGCCCACUGCCUAAGGUACAUCUGUCCACUGACCCUAAGAAAUGCCACUUCAGUGCAACUCCCUGCCCUGAAACUUCUAUCCUGGCAUAAGAAAUGACUUAAGGGUACCCAAAGCAUUCUGCUGCUGCGUGGAGCCUGCUAGAGACUGAAGCCACACCCUUCACUUGCCUCCCCGUUUACAAUCCUCUUCUAAGGUGUUAUUCAGGAUGCACGAUGCCCCAGACUGGAAUGGUGCCAAGACCUGGUCUCCAGGAAGCUGGGCCUUGACUUCCCCUUGGCACAGGGAGUAGACGACUACUCCUUCUAUUGUGCCGAGAUUUCCUCACAUGAGGAAUAAAAAUAUCCCUGUGAGCAGGAAGAGCAGCAUCUUACAUAAAGUAGAGCCUCAUGUGAGCAUGGCAAGCACAUAAAAAUGCCUUUUCAUUCAUGUUCAUGUGUUCAUUCCUUCAUUCACGAGAAACUCCAGGAAGCAGGGAGGGUAAGCACAGCACAGGGGAGCAGAUUCAAGUGAGGAUCAAGAGAGGUGGAACCAGAUGUGAAGUCAUCAUCUGAGAAUCCCACAGACCAUCUGGACAGAAGGGGAAAGAAAUGAGAAGUUGAAGAGCCCUCCGGAGCUUGGCCCAGAGCUAGGAAGCAGUAGCUUGAGGGAACUUCCAUUAUGUGUAUAUCUGCUUCGAGCUCUCCACCAAAGUCAGAGGCAGAGCACAGCCUUUCCUUACCUGCCUCAAGUCAGAAGGAAUUCUCCUCUGGAUUGCAUUCUCCCCAACAAAGAGGGGCAGACAUAAUGGGGACCAUGAAGGGGAAUGUCUGCUCCUCAGAGCUUCUGACAGAGAAGGACAAGAGGGCUGGGCAGAAUCAGAAAUAUUAACUAGGUAUGGGGAGAGUAGAUUUCAAAGGAGAAGUCAAUUCCCGUUGACUCAGAUUCUACAGGAGAUGUCAGCCCAGGGAGGAUGAGAUGCUUUCAAGGGUGGAAUUCUGAAGAAACAAAGAGAGAUAAGGAAGGAAGCAAGAAAAAUGGAGUAAGCCCAGUGGAGGUUCCUCACCCCUGGAGGAGAAUGACAAUCCUCUACAGAUGAUUCUACAACCAGCUUAGAUUUUUUUUAAAGUACAAGCACAGAAGAUGGAAAUCAAAGAAAGUAACAAAGGAUGAAGACAACAUUUUGUCAUGAAAAGCAAAAAAAAAAAACCUCAAACUUGGGGUAGCCCUGUAAGAAUAUUGUCAGAAAUGCUAAAGCAAAGAUGAGCUAAGGCUGGAGAAGAAAACUGAGCCCAAGAUGGGAUGUUGUCCUUGAGCAACAUUAGGGGAAAGAGGAGUGGCUAGGAGAAAAAUGAGUCCCAGGAGAAAGCAGAGUUAUUCAGUCCUCAUUUUACUCUUGUGUUCUCUCCCCUAGACAUGAUCUCUGAGACAGGGAAAGGUCAGAAUAAAAGUGAACAGCAGGGAGUGGGUACCCAGUAAAAUGUGAGGCCCUCCAACAGCCUGAGCUGGGUUUACAUCACCAAGUUCAGGUGAACUCUCUCUUUGGGUACCGAAAGAACUGGCAAAUGGUGCCACUGAGGCACAGAGAAAUGAGAAGAAAAAAGCCUUUCAGAUCUUUAGUUGGAGAAGCAGUUAUAACCAAAAAAGCAACAGAGGAGAUUAAAAAAGGGGAGGGGGCAACAUUCAAACAACACAAAUAAAAAACUUUUACACUGACAAAAUGAGUGCAACUACAUUAAGUGGGAAUCUUUUUUUUUUAUCAAAUAUCUGAAAAAGCCUGAAGUCUAGGCCAUUACCUCCAUCAAGUCCUAUUCUGAUGCUACAUUGUGAUGUGGAGGUGACUCUGGGUUCUAGGUUCUUUGGGAAGUUUGGCCAUGCAAGAGAAGUUCUGAUUAUAGUCCCAGCAAGAGACUGUAUUAACUCUCUGAGGACCAGCCUCAUUAAAGAGAGGCUCACUGCUAAUAAGCUGGUCUUCUGGCAAUGACCUCAGCCACGGCAACUCAUGAGAAAGAAAGACACAAGUGGUCCUCUAUUUUAUCCUUCUGCAAUGAUGUGACCAAGGGGCAGAACGCAGUACAUCUUACCCAGUUUUCAGAGCAGCUCUAACAAAAACUUAGCCGCUGGUUCUCUGAACAUAAGGUCACCGUCCAGUGAUCACAGGCACACCUGUUGAUAAACCACAAGGCCUUAAAGGAAGCUGCAGUUAAGUGGGAGGACAGCUCACAGGUUCUCCUUGAAGAGGCAAAUAGAGGAGUCGGUGGAACCGGAACACGGUGCAUCACAAAGCAACAAGAAAAAUCAUUUCAUGGCAAAUUUGGCCAUCUUGAACAGUGGUUGUGAGAAGUAUCUGCAGAAAUACCAUGAAUGAUGCCACCACGUGUUCUGAGGAAGAGUAUGUACAGAAGGCU